CCAAGAAUAGAUUCAUAGUUAAAUCCUUCCAAUGGUAGCCCUUCUAGAGACUUCCCUGUAAUCCUCUGCAUCACCUCUUUCCUUAUCGAAGCAGCGCGCUUACAAUCACCGAGCUUGGAUUCCAAUGAGUAUGAUGGUAUUUUCCCCUGCACCACGGAUUUAAUUAUCUCUUCGUCUUCCUCAGACGAAGCUGAUGUUAUCAACGGUGCAGGUUUCUCUACCAUAGACAUAGAAGGUUGAGGUGGUGCCAUUGGGGCAAUUUGUCGAGCAGGUGGUGCAGGAACAGCACAACCAAGAGUAGUUGCAGGCCCACAACGACUAUCUUCCUUCAAUAGAAAUUCCUCAUCAUUUUCAUCCCAUGAAUCAUUAUUUCCCCUUGACACAAACGUCUGAACAAACCCAAUCCCAAAGAAACCAAGAAGAUAAAUGACAGAAGCAAUUAACGAAACAAUAGCACCCAAUUCAGAAAGCGUAACGACAUGUAAAGGAGUGGAAUUCCUGAUUUUCUCACGCCACCUUGAUAGAAGAAAAUACAUAACAGAGAAAAACAUGGUGAAAAACAAGCCAUUCGUGAGAUACAAAGGAAGUGGGAGAGCAUCGGAAGCAUCAAUGAGAAG
rnacentral:lncRNA from 1 species